rnacentral:tRNA from 1 species
GCCCGCUUAGCUCAGUUGGUUAGAGCGCAUCCAUGGUAAGGAUGAGGUCGGCAGUUCGACUCUGCCAGCGGGCUCCA